rnacentral:rRNA from 1 species
UACGUAGGGUCCAAGCGUUAAUCGGAAUUACUGGGCGUAAAGCGCACGUAGGCGGAUAUUUAAGUCAGGGGUGAAAUCCCAGAGCUCAACUCUGGAACUGCCUUUGAUACUGGGUAUCUCGAGUAUGGAAGAGGUGAGUGGAAUUCCGAGUGUAGAGGUGAAAUUCGUAGAUAUUCGGAGGAACACCAGUGGCGAAGGCGGCUCACUGGUCCAUUACUGACGCUGAGGUGCGAAAGCGUGGGGAGCAAACAGG